rnacentral:rRNA from 1 species
UAGUAUGGGGAUCUGCCCGAUAGAGGGGGAUAACUACUGGAAACGGUGGCUAAUACCGCAUAAUGUCUACGGACCAAAGCAGGGGCUCUUCGGACCUUGCACUAUCGGAUGAACCCAUAUGGGAUUAGCUAGUAGGUGGGGUAGAGGCUCACCUAGGCGACGAUCUCUAGCUGGUCUGAGAGGAUGAUCAGCCACACUGGGACUGAGACACGGCCCAG